ACCCAAAUUCCCCCUAAUCCUUAAAACCUAAAUUGAGCAUCUGCCCUCUAACAUCCCUCUCUCUAUCUCGCUCUCAAACAUUCCAGCAAUAUGCAUUGUAUUUGUUCAUCGUUCAAAGAUUAGAUCUCUGUGACCUACAACUUCAUAUUUGCCCUGAGAGCUGCUCUAGCGGUGGCUGCUUAAGCGUGUCAUAUGGAUUUGGUUCUGAAAUCUGGCUUCACCUGGUCUGUUUGAAGGUGGGCCCCAUGGCUUUUUUUCCUCUCAUGCCCGCUAUGGCUUUGGCGGAGGCCAAGGAUAGCACCCCUUUGGCGUAAGCGGGGUGGUGUAGGGGGCGCUACCCAGCUGAGGUGUCUGGGGCGUUGUCCCACACCGUCCGGUCUAAGGUUAGCUGCUUCAAGAUUUUAUGCAUGUUGGCCAAACACAUUGGGGUCCUGCAUGGCCAAAAACUUUAGGCCUGGUACACAGUCUGCUGAUUACCAGUUGAAGGUGAGGUUUUUUUAGUAUUGUUUCUAUCCACAAAUGAUGAGCUCACCACAUUCACUUUAUCGAAAAGUUGUAGUUUCUUUUUUUUUUCUUAGUAGCCCAUUUUUAUAUAAUUGGUGAACGAACAAGUUUUUUACAUGAAUGUUACUAAUUCAUAAGUAAAAGGGUUUAAGUUGUUACUUUUAUAUUUUACUACACCCUUUCUUGCUUUUAAAACACUAUGGAAUAUUUUUAUAUAAAUUUAUGAACUAAUUUACUCAAAUCUUCCCAUCCGUUAUGCUUACGUUUGGUUGGAAUUUUGGAGUUAUAUUCUUGCUACAUCUUCUAUGCCUUGAGCGUAUCAUGUUAAGGAUCUUAAAGUAUCCAUGUUAUAUUCCCUUUUUGAUAGCUGUUACUUUGAUAAGUCUUUUACUUUCAUCCAUGGAACAUGCAACUGUGUGUUAAUUGAUAGAAAUAGUCACCAAAUUUAACAGCUCUUUAGCCAUUGGUGUUGGUUUUGUGAGAAAUUAAGAAACUGUUGGAAUUACUACUGGAUUUGUGAGUUGUUUUUGUUAUAAAGUGGUGUGAACUUUGGUGGUGGCCAUAUGUUUACAAGGUGUUAGUUGUGAUUGGUAAAUUGAUGUCUACUUUGUUGCACUUUGAAAGAUGUUUUUAGCUAGUAGUUAAAGGGUUAAGGGUGCGCCAGUUGCGUAGGCCCCAGGCGUGAGUUUGGUCUAGGCCAUUUGCGGCUGGUUCAGACCAUCUAAAACUAGUUUUGGCUGUUUCGGGCAGGUUUUUUAGGUUCAGACGUUUUUGUGCCAAGGUGCGCUCCUUUGGCUUCUUUGACCACAUAGGUUUUUAGUGUAUCAAAGUCUCAAAACGCAUUAGUAUUUUAGUUGCUUCUAGACUUUGUUGAUUAUGAGGAUUGUUUUAGUGAAUUUAGGUAAUCUUUUUGGUGUUUGGAUUGUUGUAAGAUUAAAUUUUCCAAUGGUUUUGAGUUAGGAAUCUUGU